rnacentral:rRNA from 1 species
AGAGUUUGAUCAUGGCUCAGAACGAACGCUGGCGGCGUGCUUAACACAUGCAAGUCGAGUGCGCGUGCCGUAGCAAUACGGUAUGGCGCACGGCGCACGGGUGCGUAACACGUGGGCAAUCUGCCCUCCGGUGGGGAAUAACCCCGCGAAAGCGGGGCUAAUUCCGCAUAACAUUCCCUGGACUUCGGUUCGGGGAUUCAAAGCAGCAAUGCGCCGGAGGAGGAGCCCGCGCCCGAUUAGCUAGUUGGUGAGGUAACGGCUCACCAAGGCAAUGAUCGGUAGCUGGUCUGAGAGGAUGGCCAGCCACACUGGAACUGAGACACGGUCCAGACUCCUACGGGAGGCAGCAGUGGGGAAUCUUGCGCAAUGGGCGAAAGCCUGACGCAGCGACGCCGCGUGGGGGAUGAAGCUUUUCGGAGUGUAAACCCCUUUCGACCGGGACGAAUGCCCGCAAGGGAGUGACGGUACCGGUAGAAGAAGCCCCGGCUAACUACGUGCCAGCAGCCGCGGUAAGACGUAGGGGGCCAGCGUUGUUCGGAAUUACUGGGUGUAAAGGGUUCGUAGGCGGUGUGGCAAGUCGGGAGUGAAAUUUCUGGGCUUAACUCAGAAGCUGCUUCCGAGACUGCUGUGCUAGAGUGCGGGAGAGGCGCGUGGAAUUGCAGGUGUAGCGGUGAAAUGCGUAGAUAUCUGCAGGAACACCCGUGGCGAAAGCGGCGCGCUGGACCGUUACUGACGCUGAGGAACGAAAGCUAGGGGAGCAAACAGGAUUAGAUACCCUGGUAGUCCUAGCCCUAAACGAUCAGGACUUGGGGUGCCUUCCGUUCGGAAGUCGUCCCGGAGCUAACGCGUUAAGUCCUGCACCUGGGGAGUACGGUCGCAAGACUGAAACUCAAAGGAAUUGACGGGGGCCCGCACAAGCGGUGGAACAUGUGGUUCAAUUUCGACGCUACGCGAGGAACCUUACCUGGGCUCGAAAUGCUUCUGACCAGCUGUAGAAAAUACGGCCUUC